CAGGUAAGCAGGAUGAGUAUAUAAUGCAUGGAGAGAACAGUGGGACAUGAACUGAUUUAAGGAGGUUAAUGAUAAUGUUUGAACAAUGGCUACAAGAUGACUAGAAAGUGACUGGUUCUGGAUUGACCGUGAAAGCUAGAAAGUAAACCAUUAUUUGGGCAACGAAACUAACAUAACAUUAAGUCAUUAUCAUGUGUUAACUGGUGUCAAGUUUGUUACAUGCUUUGAUAUUAUUAUAGUAGUAGUAGUAUUGCAUUACUUACUAAAUCACUGUUUACUGACGGAGUGAUUCAGGUGUGGCGAAUACAGUUUCUUUCACAUCUACCUGACCAACAUACUCAGAUGUAAGGUGUAAUGAAUCCCCAGUCUCUGGUACCUGCUGCUGUGUAGAGUCAAACAAUUGCCUGUUCAAGCUCUCACUCCAGGGUGGCAAGUUAGGUCAGAUCAGGUUCCAGGUCUGUCGCUUCUGAUAGAUCCAGGAGGUCUCUCCUAAGUUCCUGCAUGUCCCUGAGUCAGAAAACAGCAGGGCCAACAUAGUUCUCACCCUCUGGAUGUUCGUCA